UACGUAGGGGGCAAGCGUUAUCCGGAUUUAUUGGGCGUAAAGAGCUCGUAGGCGGUUUCGUAAGUCGGAUGUGAAAACUCCAGGCUCAACUUGGAGACGCCAUUCGAUACUGCGAUGACUUGAGUCCGGUAGGGGAGUGUGGAAUUCCCGGUGUAGCGGUGAAAUGCGCAGAUAUCGGGAAGAACACCCGUGGCGAAGGCGGCUUUCUGGGACGGUACUGGACGCUGAGACGCGAAAGCGUGGGGAGCGAACAGG
rnacentral:rRNA from 1 species